UUGAGAGUUUGAUCCUGGCUCAGAACGAACGCUGGCGGCAGGCCUAACACAUGCAAGUCGAAGGAGAAGUUUCUCUUCGGAGAAGUGGACACUGGCGCACGGGUGAGUAACGCGUGGGAAUCUACCCCGGGGUGGGGGACAACCGCUGGAAACGGCGGCUAAUACCGCAUACGCCUUAAGAGGGAAAGCUUUAGCGCCCUGGGAUGAGCCCGCGUUAGAUUAGGUAGUUGGUGGGGUAAUGGCCUACCAAGCCUUCGAUCUAUAGCUGGUCUGAGAGGAUGAUCAGCCACACUGGGACUGAGACACGG
rnacentral:rRNA from 1 species